GGAGGGCUGUAUCUCAGUGGUAAUGUAUCUACUCUUCAUGUUGACGGUCCCAGGUUCAAUCCCUGGCUUCUCCA